rnacentral:rRNA from 1 species
GUAGGUGGCGAGCGUUAUCCGGAAUUAUUGGGCGUAAAGCGUCCGCAGCCGGUUUAUUAAGUCUGAGAUUAAAGCCCGAAGCUCAACUUCGGUUCGUUUCAGAAACUGGUAGACUCGAGUGUGGUAGAGGCAAGUGGAACUUCUAGUGUAGCGGUAAAAUGCGUAGAUAUUAGAAAGAACACCAGUGGCGAAGGCGACUUGCUGGGCCAUCACUGACGGUCAGGGACGAAAGCGUGGGGAGC